rnacentral:rRNA from 1 species
GUGGGGAAUAUUGCACAAUGGGCGAAAGCCUGAUGCAGCAACGCCGCGUGAGGGACGACGGCCUUCGGGUUGUAAACCUCUUUUAGUAGGGAAGAAGCGAAAGUGACGGUACCUGCAGAAAAAGCACCGGCUAACUACGUGCCAGCAGCCGCGGUAAUACGUAGGGUGCAAGCGUUAUCCGGCAUUAUUGGGCGUAAAGAGCUCGUAGGCGGUCUGUCGCGUCUGCUGUGAAAACUGGAGGCUCAACCUACAGCCUGCAGUGAGUACGGGCAGACUAGAGUGCGGUAGGGGAGAUUGGAAUUCCGGGUGUAGCGGUGGAAUGCGCAGAUAUCAGGAGGAACACCGAUGGCGAAGGCAGAUCUCUGGGCCGUAACUGACGCUGAGGAGCGAAAGCGUGGGGAGCGAACAGGAUUAGAUACCCCGGUAGUCC